CCAUCAACGCAUUUGCCCAUGUACUGCGCUGAGUGCCAGUGCGACGCGCCACUCCCCGCAACGGAGAUCUUCUUCAAACACCACAAUCGCCCGACACAAGAGCUUGCUGAGUCUUCCCAUAUUUACACGAGGGCUUCUAUGUGGACCGCUCUUCAGAGAUGGUGCCUGACAGUGUUAAAUAGCUCCGCUAAUAAAGGGUACGUCAGCCAUA